CCUACGGGAGGCAGCAGUAGGGAAUCUUCCACAAUGGGCGAAAGCCUGAUGGAGCAACGCCGCGUGGGUGAAGAAGGUCUUCGGAUCGUAAAACCCUGUUGUUAGAGAAGAAAGUGCGUGAGAGUAACUGUUCACGUUUCGACGGUAUCUAACCAGAAAGCCACGGCUAACUACGUGCCAGCAGCCGCGGUAAUACGUAGGUGGCAAGCGUUAUCCGGAUUUAUUGGGCGUAAAGGUAACGCAGGCGGUCUUUUAAGUCUGAUGGGAAAGCCUUCGGCUUAACCGGAGUAGUGCAUUGGAAACUGGGAGACUUGAGUGCAGAAGAGGAGAGUGGAACUCCAUGUGUAGCGGUGAAAUGCGUAGAUAUAUGGAAGAACACCAGUGGCGAAAGCGGCUCUCUGGUCUGUAACUGACGCUGAGGUUCGAAAGCGUGGGUAGCAAACAGGAUUAGAUACCCCAGUAGUC
rnacentral:rRNA from 1 species